ensembl:lncRNA
AUAGAUAGAUAGACAGAGAGAUAGAGAGAUACUGUAGAUAGAUAGAUAGACAGAGAGAUAGAGAGAUACUGUAGAUAGAUAGACAGACAGAGAGAGAGAUACUGUAGAUAGAUAGACAGACAGACAGAGAGAUAGAUACUGUACAUAGAUAGACAGAGAGAUAGAGAGAUACUGUAGAUAGAUAGGCAGAGAGAUAGAGAGAUACUGUAGAUAGAUAGACAGAGAGAUAGAGAGAUACUGUAGAUAGAUAGACAGACAGACAGAGAUACUGUAGAUAGAUAGAUAGACAGAGAGAUAGAGAGAGAUACUGUAGAUAGAUAGAUAGACAGAGAGAUAGAGAGAUACUGUAGAUAGAUAGAUAGAUAGAUAGACAGAGAGAUAGAUAGAUAGAUCCAGCUACAGGAUUUAUAAGCAUAAUGCCUUUUGUGACAUUUUUAUUUCUUCUUCUUUUUUUAAUAGUUGCUUAUUUAUUAAUUAAUGCAUAUUUAUUUAUCUGUAAUUGACACUUAACGAGCAAUCAAACGAACUCCUGAGCACACGCCAUGAAGCAGUUCUGCGCCUCAGCUGGAUUCCAAAUCCAGUGUUCCGCGUCCUCAGGUGCGUAAACUUGAUGCGCCACAGAAACCGCAGCACUUAGACACCCGAAAACCCCCGUGUGCUCCUUCAUCUCCCUCUGCUCCAUCCUCCUGCUCCACCAUCCUCUCCACAUACUCCACACCAUCUC